rnacentral:rRNA from 1 species
UACUAGAGUAGCACUCGCAUAUCAAUAAGCGGAGGAAAAGAAACUAACAAGGAUUCCCCUAGUAACGGCGAGUGAAGCGGGAAGAGCUCAAAUUUGAAAUCUUAAAGGGUUUCCCUUUACGAAUUGUAGUUUAAAGAAGUGUUUUCUGUUGAGGUUUUGGUAAAAGUUCUUUGGAAUAGGACACCAUAGAGGGUGAGAAUCCCGUAUUUGACCUUUACUUUCAACUUUGUGAUACACUUUCAAAGAGUCGGAUUGUUUGGGAAUGCAGUCCAAAAUGGGUGGUAAAUUUCAUCUAAAGCUAAAUAUUGGCGAGAGACCGAUAGCGAACAAGUACCGUGAGGGAAAGAUGAAAAGAACUUUGAAAAGAGAGUUAAACAGUACGUGAAAUUGUCAAAAGGGAAGCGUUUGACACCAGUGUUGUUUUUCUGAAAAUCAAUUAAAGAACUGUUUAUGCUAAGUUGUUUAGACUUUAUCAGCUAACUGUUUAGUUUUGAGCUUUUCUUUAAUGCACUUUUCAGUUAACAAGUCAACAUCAAUUUCUUUUGCUGUAAAAAAGCUUGAGGAAGGUGGCUUGAGAUUCGUCUUAAGUGUUUAUAGCCUCUUAGCCUAUGCAGUCGGAGAGAUUGAGGUCUGCAGCGUAGAUCCUUCGGGGCUAAAUGCAUUUGUGCUAAGUUAUAGCAUUUUAUAGACAACUUGUUGACUAUGAUUUGUCUUGUAGCUUACUCGCUUAUGUUAUUUUACCUACGCUUAGGAUGUUGAAGACUCUACAGAGAUA